rnacentral:pre_miRNA from 1 species
GAACCCAGGGUCAGGGCUAAGGUAGGGUGAGCAAGGCACCCAGGAUGCACAGUUUAGGGAGGCGCUCACUCUCAGCUGCGAACCCUGGGUUC